ACAAAACGUGCAUUUAUUUUAUAAAGCCUUGUAAAGUUUUUGUUGCAUGUGCCGCCAUCUUUACAAAGGCGAAAAAAAGUCACCGUGAUUGCCUAACCAACUAUGAUGGUCAACUUUUAAUUGAAGAAUAUGCUUGUCUAAAUUAUGAGCCUUGAAAUUUAAGGUUCUAAAUUCGUGACUAAAUCUACAAGAAAUACAAAAUAUGCGUGACUGCAGCAUAUCGAUAACGGAUGCUCCUAUACGGCGCUGGAGGCGUUCGUUCCAGGUCCUGGCGCCUACAGUGCCUCAUGCUGGGCAUGCCAAAUAAGAAGGUGGUCGCUCGAUCCCAUACAAAAGUCGCUGAAUUUCUACAAAAUAAAUUUAUCGCAGUUGACCGCUUGACCAAUUGGUCAAACAUUGCUUUUUGAAUUAUUAUUUCAAAAUCAUGAAAAAAAAUCAUGCAUCUAAAAACAAUAUCUCAAAUUUC
rnacentral:lncRNA from 1 species